rnacentral:rRNA from 1 species
CAGUCGCCGCGGGAAUACAGAGGGUGCGAGCGUUAAUCGGAUUUACUGGGCGUAAAGCGUGCGUAGGCGGCUUUUUAAGUCGGAUGUGAAAUCCCUGAGCUUAACUUAGGAAUUGCAUUCGAUACUGGGAAGCUAGAGUAUGGGAGAGGAUGGUAGAAUUCCAGGUGUAGCGGUGAAAUGCGUAGAGAUCUGGAGGAAUACCGAUGGCGAAGGCAGCCAUCUGGCCUAAUACUGACGCUGAGGUACGAAAGCAUGGGGAGCAAACAGGAUUAGAGACCCCAGUAGUCCCUGUCUCUUAUAC